UCCGAUAGGACAGCCGCCGAGUGAUAACCACGACCGAGAAAUAUCGGAUCCCUUGAUUCAUGCACGAGAAACGCGUAGUAUUUCGCUGGUGUGCAAGUCGACAAUGUCUGCGAUUUUCCCUGCGUCGCGAUACCGCGCGAUAUUCAGAUGGCCCGGCACGGACUCGAUUUGAAAUCGUGUCAUCGCUUGAAUAAGUCGAGAUAAAAGGACGAGAGAGAGAGGGAACACAAUAGUCGGGAGUCUUUAUGGACAGGACAUUAAGUUGCGGGGAAAAGAAAUUUGCAGCUGACGUCGUCGGAGCGGAAGUGACUUCGAGAGUAUACCGUUACUUUGCCUUUUUCUCAGGUUCCGAAAAAAAGAGAAAAAAAAAUAUGACACACAGAGGGAAGAAUGACUGACAGGUGCGUUGCUGUCACUUUUCAACAAUGCGAAUUUUAUUCCGCGCGAGUGAAUGUGUAUAUAGUGAAUCACGUUCGAUCGAUCGAGCUCGGCAGAACGUUUCUUGGCGCGGAAAAUAUGUGUACGAGAAAUUUAGCAACUCAAUUUAAAACCAAUUUAAAACUCUCCACAAUGGACCAGCUCAUUUCAACGCUUAACUUUUAUUUCUCGUUGCAAAUAUUUAUAUAGUAUGAUGUGUUUUAAAUAUAUUUAACA